GCAGUUACAUCCAACACCCUAACAAAGGAGAGGAAAAGAAAAACCCCCUCAAAAUGUCCCUCGGGUUUGACAAAGGGAUCCCGGACAAAAUGUGACUGUUAAUUACGACAGAACUGAAAAGCAGAAGUAAAGUAAAUCCCCCCAGGACGCCUGGGAACUGGGUGAACCCUCUUCCCUGGAAGCCAAGGAACCAACUGUUUGCAGAGGAUCAGAAGGGAUCAGCUCAGAAGCCCGGACCUGGCCUGGCACAUAGAAGCCACCGAAGGGGUCCUGUGCCAAGGACAAACAGGAACGCCCACCCAGUGGGCGGGCCGUCCGUGGUCCAGAACUGGCAGGCCACUGACAAAUAUCCUCUGAGUAAAACUAAGGAAGGACGUCAGCUAUCAUCAGGGGGACUUGUGUGCCCCAGAGCCUACAGGGUGCUCAGGGACUGCAAGAAGAUCUUCCUUCCAGAAACAUUCAGUGGCACCUCCCCUUCUCCGACACUCUGCCGGGCCAUGGAAUUGCAGAGAAGAACGGGAGGGGGCCCUUGCCCUGAAGAACUCACAGAUCUGGAGGCUGGAAGUCCAAGAUCAAGGUGCCAGCGGGAUGGUUUCUGACGUGUAUGAACAAGCUCAAACCAGCCUCUCCAGAGUGAACAAAAGGAAAGGAAAGGGGAACAAAGAAGUGAGGAGAACAACUGUUUCUGUUUGCUUAACAGCCGGAAGACUGGCCCUGAGCCAACAUCCGUGUCCAUCUUCCUCCACCUUAUAUGUGGGACACCUGCCACAGCAUGGCUUGUCAAGUGAUGCCAUGUCUGUACCCGGGAUCCGAACCGGCAAACCCCGGGCCACUGAAGCAGAACGUGCGCACUUAACCGCUGCGCCACAAGGCCAGCCCCCUGGUGACUUUUAAUUACGGCCAAGGCUGACCUUGAGCAGAGGAGAGAAGGCUGCCAUCCGUGCAGCCUGUUUUCGUGGACUUAAGGAACUUCCUGCUUGGUCAUUUAUAUCCUUUCCCUGAUACAGCUUGCUACAUACAGACCCCAACUUCUGGAAUUAGAGGUUGAUUCCUUUGGCUCGAGCCCAGGGUUAAAUUGCAGCUACCUCUGGGGUGGGUUGUUUAGUAAACCUUAGAAGUGCUUUACACCUGCGUGUAUAUACUCCUCAGAUCAAGUCUCUAGAGCAUUGUCUGAUAGAGAAAGGGGCAGGAGGAAUCUGACCGUGAGCAGGGCACAGGGUUUGCCAGGACAGAGCAAACUUACUCAUUUUAUCCAAAACACCUGGUCUGAUCCUGACCGUAACCCACUUGUCAGAUCACACUCGAGGCAUAGAGGACAAUGCAAGCACUUGAUUUAAAUCAUUAGAUCCAGCUUCCUCCUCCUCACAUUUCGCUGUUGACGAGCAACACUUCUAGCCAGAACUAAAUGUCUACAGUCUUGUCUUUCUUGGCCACCCGUGUGUAUUAAGUACAAAGAAACCAUAAAAU
rnacentral:lncRNA from 1 species